UGCAUCUAUGAUGAUAACUUGGCUCCCUCUACUGAAAUCGGUGAGGAGAACUGCCAUCGUUACCCAAUUAUUCCUGAGACGCA
ensembl:snoRNA small nucleolar RNA SNORD100